GGGGAUUUAGCUCAGCGGUAGAGCGCUUGCCUUGCAAGCACAAGGCCCUGGGUUCGGUCCCCAGCUCCU
rnacentral:tRNA from 1 species